rnacentral:rRNA from 1 species
UACGGCGGCCAUAGCGGAGGGGAAACGCCCGGUCCCAUUCCGAACCCGGAAGCUAAGCCCCAGCGCCGAUGGUACUGCACUCGACAGG